rnacentral:misc_RNA from 1 species
ACAAGCUCCUCAUCUGUUGGGUGGAAUCUGAAUCCAGGAGGCAGUCUGAGCACACCGUUCUUGACAAAAUUGUGCUUCUCCAUCUUAUGAAAAGCACCUCACAGGUGAAGAAGAAGAAGAAGAAGAAGAAUAAGAAAAUUGUGAUCUAUAUCCCCAAAAACUGAUCUUGAAAGUCUCAACCCAAAAAUGGAGCCCCAAUUCUAGCUCUUUAAGUUCCAAACUCAUGCAGAAGGUUAAUUCUGAAAUAUAGCCACA